rnacentral:rRNA from 1 species
CCAGACUCCUACGGGAGGCAGCAGUGGGGAAUAUUGCACAAUGGGCGAAAGCCUGAUGCAGCAACGCCGCGUGAAGGAAGAAGGGUUUCGGCUCGUAAACUUCUAUCAACAGGGACGAAAGAAAUGACGGUACCUGAAUAAGAAGCCCCGGCUAACUACGUGCCAGCAGCCGCGGUAAUACGUAGGGGGCAAGCGUUGUCCGGAUUUACUGGGUGUAAAGGGCGUGUAGCCGGGCUUACAAGUCAGAUGUGAAAUCCGGGGGCUCAACCCCCGAACUGCAUUUGAAGCUGUAGGUCUUGAGUAUCGGAGAGGCAGGCGGAAUUCCUAGUGUAGCGGUGAAAUGCGUAGAUAUUAGGAGGAACACCAGUGGCGAAGGCGUCGUACUGGACCGAAACUGACGUUGAGGCUCGAAAGCGUGGGGAGCAAACAGGAUUAGAUACCCGCGUAACA